AAGAAGCGAAGCGGUGACGUGGAGCAAACCUCAGAAAGCCAAUCUCAGUUCGGAUUGUAGGCUGCAACUCGCCUACAUGAAGUUGGAAUCGCUAGUAAUCGCGAAUCAGAAUGUCGCGGUGAAUACGUUCCCGGGUCUUGUACACACCGCCCGUCACACCACGAGAGUUUACAACACCCGAAGUCAGUGGCCUAACCGUAAGGAGGGAGCUGCCUAAGGUGGGGUAGAUGAUUGGGGUGAAGUCGUAACAAGGUACC
rnacentral:rRNA from 1 species